CAGCCCUCUAUGCAUUCUGGCAUCACCUAACUGUUUACCCAGCUUUUAUUAAAUCUGUUAUUUUUGUUUUUGAAAAUGAUUUAUUUUUUUCUUGUUCUUUUUUCCCCAGCAACAUUUGACAUAGGCAGGUAUGUAACUCUAUCCCCUGCACCAAAUAAUGGGAUCGCUGUGACUUUAAGGCUCUCAAACACACACCUGUAUGUGACUGCAAUGAAGGAAAAUGAACCUAUACAGCUACAGGAGAUUCCAAAGACACCGACCGAGCUUGAUGGUUCUCAGAGUCCCAUCCUCUUCUACUGGACGGAGCACUACUCUUACGGCGGCACCUUUGCCUCUGUUGCCAAUCCAGAACUGCUUCUGGCUACCCAAAACAAGGACGGUGAGCCAGUGAUCAUGGCAAAAGGGCUUCCUGCUCUUGUUCACUUCCUAGUGACUGAGGAGUGAAAGCACACACUGUCAGGAAGGAAAGGACCUCUGCAGCUCUCUUGUCAUUAGAUCGUGUCUUUAAGAGCUGAGAGGGAACCUCAAAGGGCUUCUUGUCUGACUGCUCCAUUUUGCAGGUGGGGAAACUGCUUACCCAAGGUUAGUCAGAAAGUAAGUGUCAGAGGCAAGAUUUGAACCCACACCCUAACUACAGGGCCACCAUACUUUCUGCUGAAUCACACUACUGUAGUCUAGCUGUAUGAUGAUGACAUGUACUGUGUACUCGAUGAAACCAAAUCCUUUACUCUCAGUCAUGUGCCAUGCAGAUGGCUUUAGGGUGAGCCCUUGUCAUUCUGAAUGAAUGUUUGUGAACAAGUUAUGAGAGUCCGGUGGACCCAGCACUAACUCAC
rnacentral:lncRNA from 1 species